rnacentral:rRNA from 1 species
GUUGAACGCUGGCGGCGUGCCUUAUACAUGCAAGUCGAGUGGGUUUAGACCCACGGCGAACGGGUGAGUAACACGUAGGUAAUUUCCUUGUCACAGGAAUAACCCUCCGAAAGGAGGGCUAAUACCUGAUGUGAUCGCAAGAUUAAAGGGUAUCCGCAAGGAUUACCGGACAAGAAGAGGCCUGCGGCCUAUCAGCUAGUUGGCGGGGUAAAUGCCCACCAAGGCUAUGACGGGUAGCUGGUCUUAUGAGGAUGAUCAGUCACAUGGGCACUGAGACACGGCCCCAACUCCUACGGGAGGCAGCAGUAGGGAAUUUUGCGCAAUGGGCGAAAGCCUGACGCAGCGACGCCGCGGGCGGGAUGAAGGCCUUCGGGUCGUAAACCGCUUUUAUAAGGGACGAACUUUGACGGUACCUGAUGAAUAAGAGGUUGCUAACUCUGUG